rnacentral:rRNA from 1 species
UACGUAGGGUGCAAGCGUUUAAUCGGAAUACUGGGCGUAAAGCGUGCGCAGGCGGUUUUGUAAGUCUGUCGUGAAAUCCCCGGGCUCAACCUGGGAAUUGCGAUGGAGACUGCAAGGCUAGAAUCUGGCAGAGGGGGGUAGAAUUCCACGUGUAGCAGUGAAAUGCGUAGAGAUGUGGAGGAACACCGAUGGCGAAGGCAGCCCCCUGGGUCAAGAUUGACGCUCAUGCACGAAA